CUAACGACUCUAACUUAAUAAAAUAGUUUGGAUAGCGCUCACGAAAGCGGUCAAAAAGAAUGACAGUUAUGAGGAAAUAACUGUUUUAAUUGGAAAAAAAAAAUAAGCCGCAUUUUUUUAUUAGAUUCUUAUUUUCACCAUUUCACCAUUAUUUUCACCUACCAUUCACCUUAAUGUCUUCAUGUACUAAUUUAAUAAUACAGUUUUAUAACUCCAUUAUUCUUUUUAUAUAAACAUAUGCCGGCAAGGCAACACUCCACAGUCAUAUGAAUUUACCGUAUUUAAAAUUUUUCAUAUGAGAUGCCCUGCGCGACACCACUCCCUAUAUAGGUUUUUUGACACAUCAUCUAUAAUGGCGAUAUUUUUUCCAAAUGCUGCCAUGCACUGUAACGUUUUCAUGUACUAAUUUUAUAACAAUUCAAUAUAAUUUUAUAUAAGUUGAUAAAUAAAUAAAGAUUAAUGUCAUUUAUAAUUUUAUUUGUAUAUUAAUAAUCAUGUAUCAAUAAUUAUAUACAAUAUAUCAAAAUUUCAUAGUCACAAUUAUUUUCCAAUGUAUUUUCGAAAUGUCAAUUGUUAUAUUAUUAUUAAUAUAUAUACAGUUUAAUGUUGUUUAAAUUACAAUUUAAUUAUGUAUGUUACAGAAUAGUCUUCAAUUUUUGUAUUAUUAAUAUUAAUUUUCACAUCCAAGCAAAAUUUCUUCAUCACGUAUCAUAUAAAAUUUAAAUAUAUUUGAGAAGAGGCUAAUAAGAAUAGGAAUAAAAAAUGUAAGUAUUCUGUUUCUUCUGUAUUUGAUGAUUUCCAUCCGUCAAUUCCAUAUUUUCAUGUAUGUGUAUGUAUAUAUUUCAGUAUUGCAUUAAAUGUUAUAUAUGUAUAUAUAUAUUGUUCUAUGCUUUCCUAAAAAAUAAUUGACGUUUUAAUACUGGUGUCAAUUUUAUAUAUUUUUGUUCAUCCAAAAAUUUCAAAAUAUUGUAUAGUUGUAGAUCUCAAAAAAAUACCCCUUAAGUAUUUUAUAUAUAAAUAUUGUUCAAUGUUAUAUGCUCUCCUCUUCAAUAAUUAUUGAAGUUUUAAUAUAGGUAUUGUGUAUAUAAAUCUUUAUAUAUUCCAUCCGUCAAUUCCCUAAUUUCACAUAGAUAUAUAUACAUAUAUAUAUAUAUAUAUAUAUAUAUAUAUAUAUAUAUAUAUAUAUAUAUAUAUAUAUAUAUCAAUAUUGCCUUAAGUAUAUUGUGUAUAUAAAUAUUGUUGUAUGUUAUACGCUCUCCUCAAUAAUAAUUGAAGACUUAAUUAAGCUAUGCGUAUAUAUAUAUAUAUAUAUAUAUAUAAAUAUAUACCUCAAAAUUUUUACGACUGAAAUGUCUACAUUGGGGACUUUUCAAACAACACAAUUCUUAGAGUAAACCUUAGGAUUAAUAAAAAAACGGUACAUUUGCUUAACAUUAUCCAACCAACACUUUGCCUGUACGUGAAAUAAUAAAAUUUUUAUAUUAUCUUAAAGUUGGUCUACUUUAUGCUGAGAGGAUUUUUCGGUAACAUAGAUUUUAAAUGCAUUUUCUGACAUCUGCUUAACUACGAUGCAAUUCGAUUAGAGUUAUUUGGAAUAUAUUUGAUUAUUUAAAAAGAAUAAAACACAUUUCGAACUCUAGUAUUCCCAAAAUAUAUGUUUUUUACUUAAAUGUUUAUAUCCUCAUUUGGUCGAUGUGGCAUCUCCACGAAGUGAAACACCACAACUUAGGGUGCCAAACAUCUAACGUACUUUAUGAGGACUCGGUUCUCGAAAAUCUCUUAGUAUAUAACAUACAAAUUUUUCGAGUAAUGUACGCGGGGUUGCCAGAUGCAGAUAUUUUUGGAUAAGCAACGUGUAUUAUAAGGACACAGGAACGAUGAGAUUUGGUCCAGUUCACACCUUAAUUUAGUAAAUAACAAUCAAAUGGCUGUCCCCAAAUAACAUACUGAGGAAGAUGCAAAUAUUUUAUAUAUAUAGCGAUUAUAUAGAGGGUAUGAGGACACAGGAACGGUGAAAUACAACAAAACUCGAAUGUAAGUAUAACGCCUAUAAAACUAAGCAAUAUUUUAUUAAAUCUAUUUGGGGUAAGUCGAACAUUGGAUGACCCAUUCCGUGUUUGUCGUCAACAAAACUGGGAAGUGGCAAUUGCUACGAACUGCCGACCAAAGCUGUAAUUUGGUACCACGGGUAACCAGGAGCCCACGGAACUCGUUCCGUCCUGGUUAAUUGUUGUGGCCCUUCGGGGAGUAAUGUGGUGGCUGUGGUUCGAUACCCAAUUGUGGGGAGAGUUUUCACUCGGAGUGGAGUUGCGUGUCAACCGGGUGCUGUACCCAUAGACCAGCGGAGGUAUAGAUAGAUCUCACCUCCCACCAAGGGGGAAUGUCAUGUUCGACAAGCAUGCAUUCAAUUUGGUAACGAAGGGGCACUGCACAUGCAGUGUCUUGGAGGGGCGCUAUUCCGACGCUUUGUUUCGGCUCGCUGUAUUUCGAAUACCGUGGUAGUAAAUCCCUACGGGGUACACGCCACGUUAAACAAAUAUGUUUUGUUUAGUCCCUAUCUACGAUCUAGCGAAACCACAGCCCAGGGAACGGGCUUGGAAUAAUUAGCGGGGAAAGAAGACCCUUUUGAGCUUGACUCUAAUCUGGCAGUGUAAGGAGACAUAAGAGGUGUAGAAUAAGUGGGAGAUAUUCGACUUCGGUUUGGUAUCGACAAUGAAAUACCACUACUCUUAUUGUUUCCUUACUUACUUGAUUAAAUGGAACGUGUAUCAUUUCCUAGCCAUUAUACGGAUAUAAUUAUUAUGUCUUAUGGUAUUGGGUUUUGAUGCAAGCUUCUUGAUCAAAGUAUCACGAGUUUGUUAUAUAAUCGCAAACAAAUUCUUUAAUGAGAGAAUGCAUUUAUGUAUUAUUGAAUUAAAAAUUUGCUAUAACUCCAAUUACUCAGGUAUGAUCCAAUUCAAGGACAUUGCCAGGUAGGGAGUCUGACUGGGGCGGUACAUCUCUCAAAUAAUAACGGAGGUGUCCCAAGGCCAGCUCAGUGCGGACAGAAACCACACAUAGAGCAAAAAGGCAAAUGCUGACUUGAUCUCGGUGUUCAGUACACACAGGGACAGCAAAAGCUCGGCCUAUCUAUCCUUUUGGUUUAAAGAGUUUUUAACAAGAGGUGUCAGAAAAGUUACCAUAGGGAUAACUGGCUUGUGGCGGCCAAGCGUUCAUAGCGACGUCGCUUUUUGAUCCUUCGAUGUCGGCUCUUCCCAUAAUUGUGAGGCAAACUUCACCAAGCGUUGGAUUGUUCACCCAUGCAAGGGAACGUGAGCUGGGUUUAGACCGUCGUGAGACAGGUUAGUUUUACCCUACUAAUGACAAAACGUUGUUGCGACAGCAUUCCUUCCAAUGGCACAAUACUUGUUCGAGCGAACAGUGGUAUGACGCUACGUCCGUUGGAUUAUGCCUGAACGCCUCUAAGGUCGUAUCCGUGCUGGACUGCAAUGAUAAAUAAGGGGCAAUUUGCAUUGUAUGGCUUCUAAACCAUUAAAAGUUUUUAAUUUGUUUUAUUAACGACAAUGGAUGUGAUGCCAAUGUUAUUUAUAACAUAGUAAAUUGGGAGGAUCUUCGAUCACCUGAUGCGGCGCUAGUUAUGUUUUAAAACAUUAUUU
rnacentral:rRNA from 1 species